CACACAGUCAUCAUUAAACUCCUUUUGAAUUCAGAAUGGUGAUACUUUGAGUUUUGCACCUACAAGCGACAGUAUUGACAUAGUGUCUUUUCAGUUUUAAUGCCAAUCAAUCUAAUGUUGUUUGCUAUUAUUUACUGUAGUUAACAACUAUUAAUCUUUUUGGUUAAAGUAACAUAUUAGUGUACAGGAGCAGGUAUUUUUAAUAAUGAGAUAUUUGGAUCUGAUUCCUGAGCAGAUAAUUAGGAAAUUAACCAUGCUAGUUGUUAUUUUAUGCUGUAAUUAUUAUAUGAUACUAAUAUCGUGGAAUGUGUUGAGAGUUCAAUGGAAGGAAUUAUUGACAAGUCUGAAAGACAUUUCUCAGAAAUGGCUUGAGGUUAGCCUAGGGGAUGAGGGCUUCCACAUAUUUAUCUAAUUUCACCUGUGAAUCUGGAAUCUAGACAGUAUUUUAUCAGUACUCCAUAAUCUUGAAAUGUGAUGUUUUCUGAGUUUUUUGUUUUUUAAAAAUAACAAAAUAGGAUUUUCUACUAGAAAUGAUCUUAAAGCCAGCCUGGAUUAUAUUAAAAUUUGCUUAAUACUUUUUCAUUUUCUUUGCUUCUCAACUUCCUCUCCCUUGUCCAGCACACCAGCCAAGCAUAAGUGAAUAAUAGAUAGAUUAUCUUUUCAAUCAGUGAGGAGUUUGUACAACUGUACUUGAGCGUGUACGUUCUUGUGCCCAGUUGGCAGUGGCUGGAGUCUGCAUAGUUAGAUGCAGCUGGAUCUGCUUGAAGGGUUCUUCCUCUUGGGCUUAAAGUGAGUGUUGAUAGUUCCUGAUUCUUUUCACAAGUGCAAGAUGUCUGAUUGCACCAAGUCUGGCUUCUGUAAGUUCACAUUUUAUUAUUUUAUAGGCACCUUUUAAGUUAAAGCAUGAAGCAUCAGUUAAAGGGUGAGAUAGUUU
rnacentral:lncRNA from 1 species